GGAUCAGACUUUGAUCAUGGCUCAGGAUGAACGCUGGCGGCGUGCCUAACACAUGCAAGUCGAACGGAACUUCUUUGACAGAAUUCUUCGGAAGGAAGUUGAUUAAGUUUAGUGGCGGACGGGUGAGUAACGCGUGAGUAACCUGCCUUUGAGAGGGGAAUAACUUCCCGAAAGGGAUGCUAAUACCGCAUGACGCAUAUUUAUCGCAUGGUAGAUAUGCCAAAGAUUUAUCGCUCAAAGAUGGACUCGCGUCCGAUUAGCCAGUUGGCGGGGUAACGGCCCACCAAAGCGACGAUCGGUAGCCGGACUGAGAGGUUGAACGGCCACAUUGGGACUGAGACACGGCCCAGACUCCUACGGGAGGCAGCAGUGGGGGAUAUUGCGCAAUGGGGGAAACCCUGACGCAGCAACGCCGCGUGAGGGAUGAAGGUUUUCGGAUUGUAAACUUCUUUUAUUUAGGACGAACAAUGACGGUACUAAAUGAAUAAGCUCCGGCUAACUACGUGCCAGCAGCCGCGGUAAUACGUAGGGAGCAAGCGUUAUCCGGAUUUACUGGGUGUAAAGGGUGCGUAGGCGGCUUGGUAAGUCAGAUGUGAAAUGUAUGGGCUCAACCCAUGCACUGCAUUUGAAACUAUUGAGCUUGAGUGAAGUAGAGGUAGGCGGAAUUCCCUGUGUAGCGGUGAAAUGCGUAGAGAUAGGGAGGAACACCAGUGGCGAAGGCGGCCUACUGGGCUUUAACUGACGCUGAGGCACGAAAGCGUGGGUAGCAAACAGGAUUAGAUACCCUGGUAGUCCACGCUGUAAACGAUGAUUACUAGGUGUGGGGGGUCUGACCCCUUCCGUGCCGGAGUUAACACAAUAAGUAAUCCACCUGGGGAGUACGACCGCAAGGUUGCAACUCAAA
rnacentral:rRNA from 1 species